rnacentral:misc_RNA from 1 species
AACGCACUUUGCACCUCGUGGCUCUUGUCACGAGGUAUACUUGUUUGAGUAUCCGUAACCAUCUCACCCCCCCUUGGGCCGGCGGUGGACGAUGAGAUUCGCGUAACCCAUGACGGGUAACUCGUCUCUCAAAAAGCAUGGCUGUCACACAUGGUAGGUCUCCGUUGGGACUUGAUAGACCAUUGGGAUAACAUCCUACAAUCGUCUUGUCAAUGUCAAAUGAGGCGUUGACCUAUAUCCAGGCCACCACGAUCAAGCAGGAGACCCAUCGGCCACCUCGCGAUCAUUAUGUAUGCCUGUCAUACAUGACAUCUGGAUCUCAAAUCAAGUAAGGAUACCCGCUGAACUUAA